AGUUGACUAAUAAUUUAGGCUUGGCUAUGAUCUAUUUAUUCAUGCUUUAAAAGCGGGUAGGUGUAUUCAUCUCUUCUGUCUUCAGUUUUCAAGUGUGAAGCCUGGCUAUCCAUGCUAUACAGUCAACAGUGUGCUGGUUUUGUGCCUGUUCACCCUCGUUACUGUGAAAACUUCCAGAACAACUUGUACAAUGGUUCAACUUUGUGACGUUCAGCCUGCAUGUCUUCAUACACAGGCUUCAAUGCAAGAAACAAGCUGAGUUGGAAAGAAAGCCUGAGACAGCUCUGUGCCACAGCAUGGCUUUGGAUAACUUUGCAGAUGUUACUUUUCUGUACAUACUGCUGGAGGCUCCCAAGUAUCCAGUCUCUGUCCUGUUCCCUGGCAUUCGGGAGUGCUCCUAGCCUUGGUUCCCAAUGAGGAGUUUUCAGUAAUGCCUUUAGAUUAAAUGUAUAAUUCUUCUGCAGUAACUACACACCUGAAAAUGUUACUGAGACUAUAAAAAGAAAUAUUAGAGCAAUAUGAAGAGAGAGACAUAUUUUAUUUCAAUGAAUCAUUUAAUUGGGUAUUUGUCUAGACAUGAUUUAUCAGGGAAACUAGAAUUUUUCAAGUAGCUUAAGUGUUAUUUCCCAUUUUAUUCUUUGGGCAGGGGAAUGAAAUGAAUUUGGGAAACUAACUGGUCAGUAAAUCUCUUGCUUUGGCUUCUUGAAGUACCUAAUCAUUUCUCAUCUGCCCUUUCAAAAAUACAUCUGAUGCUAACUUUAACUAUUAUACUGCUUCCUGCAGCUGUCUAAAAUGGCAAAUCAUCUUUUCUUGUUAAUUUUCAUGUAUGCCUCCCACAAAAUGGAAUCAUGUGAUGUCUGAGAAACCUUUUUGUCUUUAUAAUGUCUUUCUGUGUCUUCAACUGCUCCAACUCACUGCAUUCUAAAUUUCUGAAACUGUGUUGACAUUAGUAGUGCAACAGACUCUGAAGGCUAUUAUAGGCAGGCAGGUUG